UAAUCUAGGUAUAUUAUGGACUUGAAUUAUGUUCAUAUGAAAUCUAUUUGGGGUUUAAAUCCUCAAGUUCGUAUUUCAAGUUAAUGCUGAGAUUUGGGAAGUUAAGGCUAACUUGUAGUUAGUUGUUGAACUUGGAUUCUCGAAAUUUUUUUUAAUUUUAAUUUGCAGUACUUCAUUUGUGAAAAAUGCCAUGUAUUGGCUUAUUACAAAGUGAAAAUGAGUCUAGAAG
rnacentral:lncRNA from 1 species